rnacentral:rRNA from 1 species
CGGCGCGACGCGGUCCCUGAGUAGGGCCGGGCACGUGAAACCCGGUCCGAACCUGGGUGGACCACCAUCCAAGCCUGAGUACUACCCUGUGACCGAUAGCGCACCAGUACCGUGAGGGAAAGGUGAAAAGCACCCCGGGAGGGGAGUGAAACAGUACCUGAAACCGUGCGCCCACGAGCAGUCGGAGCAACUUUACGUUGUGACGGCGUGCCUUUUGUAGAAUGAGCCAGCGAGUCGCUGGCGCGGGGCGAGGUUAACCGAAAGGGAGCCGAAGCGAAAGCGAGCCUUAACAGGGCGACUUGAGUCCCGCGCCGCGGACGCGAAGCCGGGUGAGCUAUCCGUGGGCAGGCUGAAGCGGGGGUAAGACCCCGUGGAGGGCCGAACGCACGUCGGUUGAAAACGGCGGCGAUGACCUGCGGAUAGGGGUGAAAGGCCAAUCAAACCCGGAGAUAUCUCGUUCUCCCCGAAAUAGCUUUAGGGCUAGCGUCGCGCGUUCACCGCCGGAGGUAGAGCACCGGAUGGACGAGGGGGCUUCGCCGCCUACCGAAUCCAACCGAACUCCGAAUGCCGGCGGCCCAGAGCGCGGCAGUCAGAGCAUGUGGGCUAAGCUGUGUGCUCGAGAGGGAAACAGCCCGGACCGCCCGCUAAGGUCCCCAAGUUCCAGCCGAGUGGCAAAGGAUGUGCGUCCGCCCAGACAACCAGGAUGUUGGCUUAGAAGCAGCCAUCCAUUCAAAGAGUGCGUAACAGCUCACUGGUCGAGUGGACAUGCGCCGACAAUACACGGGGCUAAGCUGGACACCGAAGCGGCGGGAUUUUGAUUUACAGAAUCGGUAGGGGAGCUUCCCAUGGGCGGAGAAGCCGGAGGGCGACCGACGGUGGAGCGCAUGGGAGUGAGAAUGCUGGCAUGAGUAGCGAGAGACGAGAGAGUAACUCGUCCGCCGUGAACCCGAGGUUUCCUGGGCAAGGCUAAUCCUCCCAGGGUCAGUCGGGGGCUAAGGCGAGGCCGGGAGGCGUAGCCGACGCGCAGCAGGCAGACAUUCCUGCACCGCGCACGCGGCGCUACGACCGACGGGGCGACGGAUGGGGGUGGCUCGGCGGGGUUCUGGACGUCCCCGUGAUGGAGCGCGGCCCGCGGACCAGGGAAAUCCGGUCCGCACACAGGGCGAGGCUCCGGACGAAGCGACUGAGCGAAGCGAGUGAGCCCGAGGUCCCUAGAAAAACCCCUAGGCAGGCGCGUGCGCGCCCGUACCGCAAACCGACACAGGUGGGUGGGUAGAACAUACCGAGGCGAUCGGGUCAACCAUGGUCAAGGAACUCGGCACAAUGGCCCCGUAACUUCGGGAGAAGGGGUGCCCGCGCGUACGUGAACCGGCUUGCCCGGGGAGCGGAGGCGGGCCGCAGUGGAGAGGCCCAAGCGACUGUUUACCAAAAACACAGGACUCUGCAGAAGCCGCAAGGCGACGUAUAGGGUCUGACGCCUGCCCGGUGCCGGAAGGUCACGCGGAGGAGUUAGCCAUUUCGGCGAAGCCCCGAAGCCAAGCCCCGGUAAACGGCGGCCGUAACUAUAACGGUCCUAAGGUAGCGAAAUUCCUUGUCGGGUAAGUUCCGACCUGCACGAAAGGCGCAACGACUUGGGCGCUGUCUCGACCAUGGACCCGGUGAAAUUGCACUGGUCGUGAAGAUGCGACUUACCCGCGGAAGGACGGAAAGACCCCGUGAACCUUCACUGCAGCUUGGCAUUGGCCGCUGGUCCCGCGUGUAGAGGAUAGGCAGGAGGCUAAGAUCCGGAGGCGCCAGCCCCCGGGGAGCCGCCCUUGGAAUACUGCCCUCGCGCGACCGGCGUCCUAACCCGAGGCCGUCAACCGGCUCGGGGACCGUGCCAGGCGGGCAGUUUGACUGGGGCGGUCGCCUCCUAAAGGGUAACGGAGGCGCGCGAAGGUCCGCUCGGGACGGUCGGCAACCGUCCUUUUGAAUGCAAGAGUACAAGCGGGCUUGACUGCGAGGCCCACAAGCCGAGCAGGUGCGAAAGCAGGCUCUAGUGAUCCGGCGGCCCCGAGUGGGUGGGCCG